rnacentral:lncRNA from 1 species
UGCGUCCUGACCAGGCUACGAUCUGGUACCGGCGGAUGUCUAUUGUCUAUGCACUAGGCGCCUGGUCGGUGCUGGGCUCGGCGAUUUUCCUUACACGAAAACCGAAGAUGUCAGGUAGGAUUCUCCGGCAAGAUCGGCCUCGCAGCCGCCGCUUCCUGACUGUUUUCCCGACUAUGGGGAAAAUGAAGAGGAUGACUCAAGCAAUGAAAUGCCUUUUUCUACAAGUGAAGACUCUGAUUUAGCGAUGGAAAGGGCUGAGCCUAUUAAAGGGUUUUAUACGAAGACAAUUGUAAAGUAUUCAGAAAAUUCUGUUCCAGUUACUCAGAGGAUCCUGAACUAUCUGAACUCAUGGACUGGUGGGCCUGGCCCUCAAUCAUGAACAGCUGCUGCAUCCUGAAAACAAGGACUUGGCUCAGUGUUUGAUAGAUGCCUUGAUUUCCAUUUCAUGUUUGUGGAAAGAGUAUUUAAUUUUACUUUAUAAAAUAUAAGCGUU